rnacentral:rRNA from 1 species
GUCUAUCGUACCUUUGUUGCUUCGGCGCGGCCCCUGCGCCCGCCGAAGACCCUCCUGAACGCUGAUUUUUGAAGGUUGCAGUCUGAGUUGAUUUAUGCAAAUCGGUUAAAACUUUCAACAACGGAUCUCUUGGUUCCGGCAUCGAUGAAGAACGCAGCGAAAUGCGAUAAGUAAUGUGAAUUGCAGAAUUCAGUGAAUCAUCGAAUCUUUGAACGCACAUUGCGCCCCCUGGUAUUCCGGGGGGCAUGCCUGUCCGAGCGUCAUUACUGCCCUCAAGCGCGGCUUGUGUGUUGGGCCGUCGUCCCCCGCGGGGGACGGGCCCGAAAGGCAGUGGCGGCACCGCGUCUGGUCCUCGAGCGCAUGGGGCUUUGUCACCCGCUCUGUAGGCCGGGCCGGGGCCUGCCGACCCUCCAUCUUCCUUCUAAGGUUGACCUCGGAUCAGGUAGGGAUACCCGCUGAACUUAAGCAUAUCAAUAAGCGGAGGA